rnacentral:rRNA from 1 species
AUGCUGCUAUUAGAAUUCGAUUAAGCCAUGCAAGUCUGAUGUUUAUUCAUCGGCAAAAUGCUCAGUAACACGUCGAUAAUUUGCCCUAUGGUCAUUGAUAACUUCGGGAAACUGAAGGUAAACAAUGAUAAGAGAAUUUUCCUGCAAUGGUUUUUCUCCGAAACUCGUGCCAUAGGAUAAGUCGGCGGUCGAUUAGGUAGUUGGUGGUGUAAUGGACCACCAAGCCGAUGAUCGAUACGGGCCCUGAGAGGGGUAGCCCGGAGAGGGACACUGAGAAACUGGUCCCAGCCCUACGGGGCGCAGCAGGCGCGAAACCUUUACAAUGCACGCAAGUGUGAUAAGGGGAUUCUAAGUGCUCAUGUUUUACAUGGGCUUUUACUAAGAGUAAAUAUCUUGGUGAAUAAGUGGUGGGCAAGACUGGUGCCAGCCGCCGCGGUAACACCAGCGCCACAAGUGGCAUCCACGUUUAUUGGGCCUAAAGCGUCCGUAGCCGGUUAGGCAAAUCUUUUGUGAAAUCGUCAGGCUCAACCUGACGGCAUGCUUGAGACACUACCUAACUUGAGACCGGGAGGAGUCAGAGGUAUUCCAGGGGGAGCGGUAAAAUGUGAUAAUCCCUGGAGGAUCACCUAUGGCGAAGGCAUCUGACCAGAACGGAUCUGACGGUGAGGGACGAAGGCUAGGGGAGCGAUCCGGAUUAGAUACCCGAGUAGUCCUAGCAGUAAACGCUGCGAGCAAGGUGUUGCGCCUCUCAUGAGGAGGUGCAGUGUCGAAGAGAAGUCGUUAAGCUCGCCGCCUGGGAAGUACGGUCGCAAGACUGAAACUUCAAGGAAUUGGCGGGGGAGCACCACCAGGGGUGCGGCGUGCGGUUUAAUCUAACUCCACGCA